rnacentral:lncRNA from 1 species
CUAAAUGCUCGUGUUAUUGCCCUUGACUUGAGCUGCAGUUGGCUAUAUGGUAACUUCCCUUCCAAUACCACUCUCUUCCUUCUUCCUCACCUUCAAAAACUCAACCUUGCUUACAAUGAUUUCAAUGAUUCCAAAAUUCCAUCUGAAUUUGGUCAGUUUACAAGCCUAUUCUACCUCAACCUUUCCAGUACAGGGUUUGUAGGAGAAGUCCCUUCCCAAGUCUCCCACCUGUCAAAAUUGGUUUCACUUGAUCUCUCGUGGAAUAUUCCCCAAAGAAUUGACAAACAUGCUGUGGAGGGACUUGUUCACAACCUAACCGAGGUUAGACAUCUGUUUUUGGAUGGAAUCAACAUGUCUUCUACUAAUCCUCUUGUCUUCAUGAAUCUAUCCUCUUCUCUAAGGUCUCUCAGUCUUGCUCCUUGUCAUUUGCAAGGAAAAUUCCCAAAAAACAUUUUUGAUUUGCCAAACCUCAAUUUCCUCAACUUGGGGCGCAACGAAAACCUCAAUCUUGAUCUUUUGAAGUUCAAUCGGAGUAGCAAUCUUGAACAUUUGGAUCUGUCGUCCAUGUCCUUCUCUGCAGGAUUGAUUGAUUCAGUUGAUAAUCUACAGGCCUUAAAGUACUUAGAUCUAUCAGGAAAUUCUUUCUUUCAAGUAUUUUCUGUCUCAAUCACAAAUUUAUCAUCUUUGGAGUACUUGAUUAUUAGGGAGGCAAAUUUAUUUACAGGAUUGCCUGACUCGACGGGGAAUCUUGUGUUCUUGAAGUUUUUAGAUAUCUCUUAUUCCAACUUGUCAGGAUUGAUUCCAAGAUCACUGGGAAACCUCUUGCAACUCACUGAUUUAGACUUGUCGAUCAACCAAUUGAGUGGACAAAUUCCAAGAUCAUUGGGGAACCUCUUGCAACUCACUGAUUUAAACUUGCAUGGGAACCAAUUGAGUGGACAAAUUCCAUUAUCAAUUCUAAACCUAACGCAGCUUGAAUACUUGGAAAUAGCUGAAAAUUCAUUAGAAGGUUCCAUUCCAGAUGAGGAAACCGCUUUUCCUAAUCUAAUAUCUUUAGACUUAUCUGACAAUUUACUAAAUGGAAGCCUUCCGUCAUGGUGGUAUACUGCUCCCUCCUUAAAGCACAUAUGUCUCUCACAAAAUCAUGUCAGUGGGCAUAUCAAAGAAUUCCAAUCCAAAUCACUAGAAUGGACAUGGUUAGAGAAUAAUAAACUCCAAGGUCCUCUUCCAUCUUCAAUAUUCCAACUUCUCAAUCUUACCUGGCUCAUCUUAUCCUCAAAUAAUCUUAAUGGUUUCUUAGAGUUUAGCAUGUUCUCAAACCUUGCAAAUCUCGAACAUCUUGAACUUUCAUAUAACAGCCUAUCUUUAACAUCUUAUACUACUUCUAGUGUUAACCAUAUAUUGCCUAAUCUUACAGACUUACUUUUGUCAUCUUGCAAUCUUAGUGAAUUCCCCCGAUUUUUAAAAGGGCAUAAAAGUCUGGUAAAUUUAGACCUCUCUUACAACAGAAUUGAAGGCAAGAUUCCACAGUGGAUGCAAGAGGUGGGCAAUGACUCUUUGUGGUAUUUAAAUUUAUCUCAUAACUCUUUGACAGAAGUUGAGCACUUUCCAUGGAAGAAUAUUGCAUUUCUUGACUUAAGCUCCAAUUUGAUCCGUGGAAAUCUUCCGAUUCCAGCUUCGACGAUCAGAAUCUUUUUGAUCUCAAAUAAUAGUUUCAAUGGAGAGGUCUCUUUUUCAAUAUGCAAUGCCAGUUCUCUUCAAAUUCUUGAUUUCUCCCACAAUAACUUGAGUGGAACAAUUCCGCAAUGUUUUGGAAAUUUGAGCAACAACCUUGAAUUCUUGAAUCUGAAGAAGAACAAGUUUUAUGGGACGAUUCCUCCAACAUUUGCACAGGGAUGCCAAUUGAGUAAUUUCAACUUAAAUGGAAAUCUGUUAGAAGGGCCUUUGACACCAUCCAUCCUUAAUUGUAAAGGUCUGGAAGUGCUAGAUCUUGGUAACAACAAGAUCAAUGAUACAUUUCCUCAUUGGUUGGGAAGUCUUCCACAACUAAAAGUUGUUGUAUUGAAGUCAAAUCAUAUGCGUGGUUCCUUGUGUGUCAAUAGCUCCAAGUCUAGCCCUUUUUUCUCUAAAAUCCAAAUUUUUGAUCUCUCAAGUAAUUAUUUUUCUGGACCCCUACCAGUGAGAUACAUCAACAGCUUCAAGGUUAUCAUAAAUCUAGAAAAGAUUGGUAGUACAGUGUCGUACAUGGGGGUGUAUGGCAAUAGUGCCUUCUAUACCUAUUCCAUUGGAAUUGUUAUGAAAGGACAAUAUACGGAAUUGGUGAAAAUUUUCACCAUGUGGAUGAUCAUUGAUGUAUCAAACAAUCAGUUUGAAGGGGAGAUUCCAAAGGUUAUUGGGAAGCUUAAUUUACUGAAAGGGCUCAACCUUUCUCAUAAUAACCUUAAUGGCGGUAUCCCCACCUCAAUAGGGGAUUUGACAAAUCUUGAAUGGUUGGACUUAUCUUCAAACAGGUUGUCUGGGACGAUUCCAAAAAGAUUGGCAGAUCUGCCAUUUCUUUCGUCCUUGAAUGUUUCUGAUAAUCAACUCCAUGGUCAGAUUCCUCAAGGCAAACAAUUCAACACAUUUGGAAAUGAUUCAUAUGAAGAAAAUAAGGGACUAUGUGGGUUUCCGGUCUUGAAAGGUUGCAACAUCAUUGAGCCAGCACCUCCAAAUGUGCUUGAAAAAGAUGGCUCAAAAUCAAACAUUGCUUUUGGUUGGAAAGUGCUUUUGAUAGGUUAUGGAUGCGGAGUAGUGUUCGGAAUGGCCGUGGGGUAUGUCGUUUUCCAAAUUGGUAAGCCGAAAUGGUUGGUGAACUUGGUUGAAAACCAACAUGAGAAGAGGCGAAGAAGAAAGUCAACGAAUGGCAAUCGCGAAAAUGGACGAAGAAGGAUCUAGUUGGUGGAAAUGAUGUUCAAGCGUUUAUGUUUUAUCUUCAUAAUUUCUUGUUUUGAAGUCUGUCGAAAUGUUUUUUUUUCCUAUGGUGAUGGGUUGCAUUCGCAUGCAUCUGUCUUUAUUAUUGUAACAAUUCAUCAGUAUUUUAUUGCAUUACGUAGGGGUUUAUUCUGAAUAUUUUAACAUUUUGUAUGGUGCAACGAUUUAUGUCUUCUUUCAUGAAUUACAAUUUUUAGUCUCAAUAAUCUCUGCUUUCAAGAUUCUGCAGUAAAAGCUUAGUUUCACGGACAUAGUAAUAUAAUGAAUUCAAACAUCAAUUGUCCUUAUUUCCUUUAGUUAGCUUAUUAAUUGGUGGAUCAAAUUUCUAGCAGUCUUCUUGCUCAACUCAUCAUCUUUGUCUCGAGUUAAACAUAGUCAAAACUAUAAAAUUUUCUUUUUGCGUGGAAAAUUAUUUGGCAUUCUGCAAAUUUCCACAAUGCUUGUUGAUUACCUCUGGUUGACAGCUAUACAUGUAUAGGAAGUAAGGAAGGAAGUCCAAGUCAAUAGGCACUGACAUUCUUAGUCUUCCACCCUUUGGGACCAAAUAUGAUGUGUUAUAGGAAACAAGAUCAUGUCCAGAGACAGUGACAAGUUUGUUUGAUGGAAGUAGCUCUUUUCACACUGCAGACUUGACCUUCAACACGUGAAUGUAAAAUUGGGUACUCGUACAUAUGUUCGAUUAUGCUUUAAACACAAAUAUCAAAUGCUUCAAAGACAAUGAAGAAACCAAUAAUAGAUAACAUGGUCGACGAUAUGAAGUUGAGGUACAAAAAUAAAGAUUAAGUGGUUUUACAAUGCCAAAAUAUUGCAACAACAAUGAGAUUAUAUAUUAUUGUAUAUAAUAGUGAUCGGUCUGGAACUUGAAUAUAUGCAGGUGGUACCGCAGGAGCACAUCUUAACAUAAGGCUAUGAUUGUUCCAUAAUUUUUAGUUUCAAAUUUUUGUACUCAUUAAUCUUUCCUAUUGUUUUGUAAGGUGUUGGUUGUUUAAUUAAAUUUCAUUUUUUUUUCGUUAACACACUUGGUCAAAUAUGCAAAAUCCACACAUAAAUGUUUAUACAAAUUUCCAUGGAACCAUCAAGACAAUCGCAAAAAUCAAAUUUGGGAAUUAAAAUUCUAACUUUAAUAUACCUGAACAUAUGGGAUACCCAAAAAAUUGCAAGCACAAGACCGAGAUAGUAUAUAGUUUCUGUGAUAUGCAUCCUUUGGCCCUUCAGUUGGGUACCCAGGCGGCGGCGUUGCAUCCUUUGGCCCCUCAGCGCACUCUCAACCUCACAAAUAGCCUCCCUAGGUUGUGCUGGAGAUCGAAGUUUUGAGCACCCAAUGAUCAAUCUUUAAUUUUUUGGCUUUGAAGAGAUUUUCUUGGAAAUAAAAAAAGAUUUGAGACGAGGAGAAAGAGAGAAGUGUUUUGGUGGUAGCUUAUAUUUGUCAUUAUGCACAUUGUUACCAAAAAAGUGAAUUGGUCCGAUUCGAUGAAUGAAAAUUAAAACGCAAACCACGGUUGAAAUUACGAUGAUAAGAAAGAAAGAAUUGCAGAGAACAAACAAAAGAUUUUUGCAACGAAACUGUCUGCAAAGGUUUUAUUUAUGUCACCAUAUUUUUUAAUAUAGUAAUAGGGGUUCUUAUAACAACAAAAAACUUCUAACUAUGGAGAGAAAUAAUUAACAAAGUUUUUAUGCUAAUAGAUAAUAAAUAUAUUAUGUUAAUAAAUUCUAAAUCUUCUAAUAAAUUCUAAAUUUGCAGGCAAGCUGUUAAAAUCCAGUUGCUUCUCAACUACAUGGUUAAUCUUUAAAGAGCUCGCAUCUAUUCUUGCGAUCCUAGUUUGUAUUUGUCUUGCAACCCCAAUUCGUUAAAGUAAUGAGCUCGCCACUUUGUGGUAGCCAAUCUGGAGGAGUUCGCCAGCCAUACAUACGGCAUGAACGAUCAUCUCCCAACAAUCACUAUUUAAAAAUAUGCACAGAAAUUGAAAUUCCAUGGAAGCAAUACCAAGUGGAUUGUUUGUUGUUGAGGUAAAUUAAACACACACAAUUUGUAAGCAUUUUAGUGUCAUAUGGAACUUAAUUUUUAUUUUUUAUUUUACCUACCGUCCCAAACUAAUUAAUCGAUCUUGUGAAAUUGUGUACUCCUACAUAUAUGUUUAAUGCAUCAAUGUGAAAUUUUCUCACCUAAUGAUCGUUUUCUCGAGUAAAUGUAAAUAGUCAAUACUGCAAAAUUUUCAUAUUAUUUGUGUGGAAUUCUGCAUGAUUGCUUGUGGAUUCUUAGGUUGGAACUAACAGUAAGAGGAAGCAAGUGCAGUUGAAGUCAAUAGACGCUAGCAGUCUUGGACCAAACUUUCAAAGUAAUUAUUUUACUGGACCACUAGCAGUGAGAUGCAUCAACAAUUUUAGGGUUAUCAUAAAUCUCUACAAUUGGGAUUGUUAUUAAAGGACAAGAUAGGGAAUUCAUGAAAAUUUUCACCAUGUGGACCAUCAUUGAUCUCUCAAAUAAUAAGUUUGAAAGAUAGAUUCCGAAGGUUAUUGGAAUUUUCACCAUGUUCAAGCAUUUCUAUUGUAUUUUCACAUAUAUAUUAAAAGAAAGAAGCUGCAAAAGCAUGUCAUUUAAGACUGCUUGUAGAAGAAAGCAACAGCUCAAUCCUGUGAGACUCCUAACCAAGCUUGAAUAAGCUGAAGGAGGAGUUUCAGGGAAAGUAUGUGAGCUUUCCAAUGUAAUCUGCAAGCUCAGCAAGAUGUCAAAGCUGCGAGCUUAGCGAGAAGUGCGAGUUAUGAGCUCAGCAAGUGGUGCGAGCUCAUCAAAAGGUGUGAGCCUGUUGAAGACACCUGUUGAAGACAAUAUGCAAAGAUGCGAAUCUGUCAAAGGUCUGAGCUCAGCAACAUGUGGAAGCUUAAUGUGAGUUGUAAAGUUGCAAGCUUGUUGAAGACAAUAAGCAAAGUGCGAACCUGUCAAAGUGUGAGCCCGUCGAAUUGCAAGCCAAAGUGGUGGACAGUCUAAAUGCAAACCUAAAUGGGUGCAAACCGAAGUGUCGAACGGUCUAAAUGCAACCUCGAGUAGGUGCAAGCCAAAAUGACAGACUGAAAGUAAGCAAACUAUACUCGCAAAUUGUAUAUGCAAGAAGAAACAGGAUUGUAAUUAAUAAGGGAACAAGGCAAGAUGUGUUGUCAACUAAGGCUAUGAAGGAGGAGAAUACUCUAUUUGAUGAACAAAUCUUUGGCACAAAAGACUGGUAUGGUCAAUUGUGUGAGUCAGAUUUGGUUGAAAAUGAUGCCAAGGUUGAAAAUGUAUUGCUAGAGCAGGUUUUGCUUGAAAAAAAGCAUCUUUUGAUUGCCAAGCUUAAAAAACUUGAUGAAUGUUUGGUAUUUGCAGUAUGGAGUCUAAGGAGGAGUGUUGAAAAUUGGCCAACUAUAUUGAUCGAUAUUUUUGGAUGAAGUGCAUGCAGCUUGUAAACAUGUUGCAGCACGUAUGCUUGCUGUAACAAUAAUGUUUUCUCUUUAGUUUCAUUGCAAUCAAACUAGUUGAAAAUGAACAAGCUGAUAACAGCUUGAUAUGUUUAGGUGUUGAAUGACUAGUUUAGGUGACUUGUUUAUGUGUACAAGCAAUGUUUAUCAAGUUACAAGGCUACUUAGUGGUAGUAAGUAGUAUUUGGUGAUGUAUUUGACUAUAAAAUGUAUUGAUUUUCUAGUUGAAUGAAUGAGAAAAAAUGAGCUAAAAGCCAUAAGCUCCCUUACAGCCUUGUCUUGUGUCCUGUAUUUCUUCCUCUGCUCCUACCAAAUCCCCAACAAUUUUGCCUUUAUGGGACCACAGUACCGUAAGCAUCGACAUCUAAGAAAAAGAAUGAUGGCAUGGAUUUUGGAUGCUGUACUUUACCAUCUGUUUUUUCCAACUGUAAUGUCCACUGACAUAUUUUCCUGCUGUUUAGGUUCAAUCUUAUAUCUUCAUCAUCUCUAAAGGAGAGAAUCACUAUCUUGCUUACUUGGAGGACAUGUACGAAGACAAGCACGGGCAGAUCUGGUGGUGAAGGUUAUUAAUUAUUCUCAUUCAGUUGCCUUAUGUUUCUUCAGAGUUUAAAAUUUAGGCCACUAAUUCAAAUUUUGUUUAUUGAACUGAAUUAAUUUAUACGCACUAGAGGAAAAUAUGUUUCUUAGAUACUAUUAUUCAGCAUAUAUAGGCCACACUGGUUUGAAUUUUUAAGGUGCUGUUUACUCUAAAACCUAUUAAUUUAUACAGACUUAGAGACUAUUUUUUUUAAUUGUAUGAUCUAGACAUGAGAUAUGAUUUUUCUUGUAUUAAUAUAGAAAGAAAGGAUAUAUAACUAUAAAGCACCAAUUUCAUCAGUUUUGUUUUUUUUCUAACAAUGAUUUAUAAUACUAAUUCGAGUAACAUAUAAUUCGAGAAUGAGAAUAUAGAAAUUAUUAGUUGAAAUGGAAAAUAAAGUGUUGAUAUUUUACAGAUUAGAGUUGAGUAUAACUAAUUGGUGUUGAAGUUGGGGUUAUGCAAUUGUUGGAAUUCAGAUGUGUAUUUUUUUGGGUAUCUGGGUCUUUCUCGCGUUUUGUUGGUUGGCUAUGGCCUUCUUGUUGCUUCCACUGUCUGUGGUCUUUGUUUCUAAGUCAUAUGUGACCUUGUUUGCUAGAACGUAUGUUGUCUCGUUGUUUCUAAGCUUUUAAUAUUAGAAAUGGAUGAAAUUUUUAACAGAAAUGACUAGUUUGUAUUUUGAUUUAACGUACAAGAACUACUUUGCAUAUUUUUCAGUAAAGGGGAUAAAAUGCAAUUUAAUUCUUAGUACAGGGGCCUCUACGAUACUUUUAUAGCUAUUCCAUUGAAAUUGUUAUGAAAGGACACUAUAUGGAAUUGGGGAAAAUAUAUAUUCGCCAUGUGGAUGUCAUUGAUUUAUCAAACAUUCAAUUUGAAGGGGAGGUUACAAAGGUUAUUGUGAAGUUUAACUUACUAAUUAAGGGCUCAAUCUUUAUCAUAAUAACCUUAAUGGUGGUAUCCCCACUUCAAUAGGGAAUUUGACAAGUCUUGAACGGUUGGACCUAUCUUCAAAUAGGUUGGUUGGGACGAUUCCAAAUAGAUUGAUAGAUCUGGCAUUUCUUUCGUCCUUAAAUGUUUCUGAAAAUCAACUCCAUAGUCAGAUUCCUCAAGGCAAGUAGUUCAACACAUUUAUGUAAUAAAUUAAUAUAACCCACACAUGCUUUGAAUUUUUAAGCAAUAAACUAAAGCACCAUGUUUCUUAGAUACUAUUAUUCUCUACGAUGUUAUAAUUAUAAUUGCAAUCAAUAUAUCUGUAUAACAAUAAUGAAUGUUUAAUUUUUUGAAGUAUCCGAAUGAAACCCUUUUUCAUUUUUAUUAAAAAAAAUACUAAGAAAAUAUCCAUUCAAUUGUUCAAUUUCAAUAAUAUACAAAUUAUAUAUAUUAUUAUCAAUUUACCUUCAAAUUUUGAAUAAUAACUUAUUUGGCCAUCUAACUUUAUAAAAAAGUCAUUUUAAUUCUUCAUUUAAUUUUUACCUCGUUUAGUCCUUAAACUUGCGCUAUUUGUCAAAUCACCCUAAAAUAGAUGAAAACUUUAAUGAUGUGGCAUAUCGUGGAUUACCACAUAAAUGCCACGUCAGCAAAUAAAUAAUUUUUUAAAAUUUAAAAUUUUCAAAAAUUACAAAAAAUUAUUAAAAAUAAAAAAUAAAAGUAUAAAAAUAUUUUUAUUUUUUAAAAAUUUAAUUAAUGGCUGACAUAACACACACAUGGAUUGUCACGUGAAUACAUGAAUAUCACGUCAGCAAUGUUAACAGACAUUAAUUGUUCCAUUAACAGACAUUCUUUAAGUAUUAUAGGGAAGAAAACUAAGUCAACUCACUUUGUAAUCUCAUGAAUGUUAAUUAUUUUAGUUGUUUAGGGAGUUCAAAUAAAAUACAAAAUUUUAGUAAAUACACUGAUGCAUAGGAAGCAAUACCAAGUCAAUAGACACUGACAUUCUUAGUCUUCCACCUUUGGGACGUAACUUGACCAAAAAAAUUGGAAUUUCAGGUUUAAAAUUGCUAAAUAUUAGAAGUUGGAAUUUAUCAAAAUUAGUAACAUUGAUGGUACAAAAGAGUUAGAAUUAUGUGUCUUGCCUUUUCUCACCACGUAUAUUGUGGUGUAAAUGUGGGAAUAUUUGGCAUGGUUUGCUGAUUAAGUUUGGCUGACCAUGAUAGGGUUUCAUUGACGUGAUAUUGGGGGAGCAGUUGAGGUACGAUUGGUGGAUCCCAUCUCCCUAUUUUCCUAUGAGUAGGGUUUAUGGGUGAUGCAAUUGGGGGUGUUGUAUCUCUACUUUUUUCCACUAACCAUAGUCAAAAUAAAAUAGGUUAGUAGUUACAAAAAUAGAGAAAUGGUCCUUCCACAAAAUACAAUAAUAAAAUGCAAAUCUAUUGAAUCAUAUCAAACACUAAAUAUUUAAAGGAUUACGGAAAAUACAAAAACAUCAAUUAUGUGUAGAAGAAUAAAACCAAUAAUUUAUUUUCUAAGCCAUUGAUUUCAAUGAUGUGGACUCCAUCUUUCCAUUACAAAAAUUAAAUUGAUUGUGCUAAAAACCAUAUAGAAGUUGACAGAAAAAUCAUCAAAAUUACAAGUGCAGUACAUAGAUUAAUCACAAUACAAAAUAGUUGCAUAUGAACCCUAAUUUGAUGAGACGCCAAUUAACUAUUAACGCAAAUUUAAGAGUAAAAAGAGACAAAAAAAAUUAAAUAGGAAUUAAAAUAAUUCUUUAAAUAAAAUUGGAAGGCCAAAUAUAUCAUUAUACAAACUUUUUUCUAAAAAAAUUCAUGUGAAGAAGAAAAUGCAGUUUCCCAGAUAAUUUUCUUGCAAUUAAUAGAAAAUGACAUAUUUAAUGCCAACCAAUGAAAUAUUUGGAGUUUUGUUGAAAAUAUGCUUCUUAGAUACAAUUACUCAACAUACAUAUGCCACAGUUAUGCAAUAAAAUAAAUUAAUAAAAGCCACACAUGCUUUGAAUUUUUAAGCAGUAAAUGAAAUAUGCUUCUUGAAUACAAUUAUUCAACACACAUGCCUUGAAUUUUAUGAAAUAAAAUAAAUUAAUAUAGGCCACACAUGCUUUGAAUUUUUAAUUCUACAUUGGUUAGCGUUGGUUGACAGCCAUACAUACCAAGUCAAUCGACACUCACAUUCUUUUAAGUAUUAUAGGGAAGAAGACUAAGUUAAUUUAUUUUGUAAUAUUAUGAAUGUUAAUUAUUUUAGUUGUUUAGAGAGUUCGAAUGAAAUACAAAAUUUUGGUUAAAAAGAGUACCCAAUUUUGUGAAUGAAAAAUAUAUGGUAAAAAUGAAGUAGUUGUUGUCUUGUUGAUGACUAUGAAAAAUAUAAGUUUUCAAUAUCAGCAAUUCAAACUCUUCCAAUAAAAAUCUUUAUACCAUAAAAGAAAAAACACUGUAAUAGUAAUGUUGUGGUGUUAAUAAAUACCAUUCUCACCAUUCCUAUCCUUCAUCUUACUCUACAAACAUAACAUGGCCUCCUUACUCUUUCUUUGCCUAUUCCUCUUCUUUCCCCAUCUUUAUGCUUCUUCUUCAGGAUCUCACUCCUGCUCUUCACUAAUCCAAUUCAAGAACUCUUUUUCCAUCACUAAGACACCGCUUGCUGCUUGGUAUUGCGAUGAGAUUGCAGGCCUUAAAUCUUAUCCCAAGACAAAUUCAUGGAAGGAGGGUACAGAUUGCUGCUCAUGGGAUGGGGUCACUUGUGACCACCUAAAUGCUCAUGUUAUUGCCCUCGACUUGAGCUGCAGUUGGCUAUAUGGUAACUUCCCUUCCAAUACCACUCUCGUCCUUCUUCCUCACCUUCAAAAACUCAACCUUGCUUACAAUGAUUUCAAUGAUUCCAAAAUUCCAUUUGAAUUUGGUCAGUUUACAAGCCUAUACUACCUCAACCUUUCCAGUGCAGGAUUUGUAGAAGUCCCAUCCCAAGUCUCCCACCUGUCAAAAUUGGUUUCACUUGAUCUCUCUUUCAAUUUUUUCCAACCAAUUGAUAAACAUGCUGUGGAGGGACUUGUUCACAACCUAACCGAGAUCAGACAUCU